rnacentral:rRNA from 1 species
UACGUAGGGUGCAAGCGUUAAUCGGAAUUACUGGCGUAAAGCGUGCGCAGGCGGUUGUGCAAGACAGAUGUGAAAUCCCGGCUUAACCUGGGAAUUGCAUUGUGACUGCACGGCUAGAGUGUGUCUGAGGGGGUAGAAUUCCACGUGUAGCAGUGAAAUGCGUAGAUAUGUGGAGGAAUACCGAUGGCGAAGGCAGCCCCCUGGGAUAACACUGACGCUCAUGGCACGAAAGCGUGGGAGCAAACAGG